rnacentral:piRNA from 1 species
UUGUGUGGUUCCGGUUCUGUCUGUCUUU